rnacentral:rRNA from 1 species
CCAGACUCCUACGGGAGGCAGCAGUGGGGAAUAUUGGGCAAUGGGCGCAAGCCUGACCCAGCAACGCCGCGUGAAGGCGAGUGCCCUACGGGCGUUAAACUUCUUUUGUGCGGGAGCAAUAAGGGCCACGCGUGGCCCGAUGAGAGUACCGCACGAAUAAGCAUCGGCUAACUCCGUGCCAGCAGCCGCGGUAAUACGGAGGAUGCGAGCGUUAUCCGGAUUUAUUGGGUUUAAAGGGUGCGUAGGCGGUAUUUUAAGUUAGUGGUAAAACGUCGGGGCUUCACCUUGAUUGGCCAUUAAAACUGGAGUACUAGAGUACAGACGAGGUAGGCGGAAUAAGUUAAGUAGCGGUGAAAUGCUUAGAUAUAACUUAGAACCCCGAUAGCGAAGGCAGCUUACCAGACUGUUACUGACGCUGAAGCACGAGAGCGUGGGUAGCGAACAGGAUUAGAUACCCCAGUA